rnacentral:rRNA from 1 species
GGAGGAAAAGAAACCAACUGGGAUUCCCUGAGUAACGGCGAGCGAAAAGGGAACAGUCCAGCGCCGAAUCCCGCACUGGAGACGGUGCCGGGAAAUGUGGCGUUUAGGAGUGAGCGUGCCGGAGGAUGUGCUCUGCAGCAAGUCCCCCUGACCGGGGCUCUUUUCCAUAGCGGGUGCGAGACCCAUAGCUGCUAGGCCUCUUUCGGAUGCGAUCUCCUUGGAGUCGGGUUGCUUGGGAGUGCAGCCCUAAGUGGGUGGUAAACUCCACCUAAGACUAAAUACGACCGUGAGACCGAUAGCGAACAAGUACCGUGAGGGAAAGUUGCAAAGAACUUUGAAGAGAGAGUUCAACAGUACGUGAAACUGCUCAGAGGUAAACGGAUGGGCCCUCGAAAUCCUGUGGCGGGAGGAUUCAGUUGGAUGAUGCGGGUGCAGGAUGCGUGCUGGCUUUGAAUGACGAUCUCCUUGUAGGAGACGGCCGCUGUGCACAGUGCCCGCGUCGGACGACGCAUUUGCUUCCCGUCCGAAGGACGCCGCAACCGGUUGGGAGACGGCCUUAAAGGUAGCCGCUGGCAGGUGACUGACGGUGCCGCGAUUCGUCGUGGCUCCGAUAGCGUUAUAGCCUGGCAUGCCGGAUGGCUCGUAACCCGACCGAGGUAUCGCAAAGGCCCACCAUGGGCAUUGAAUCGUCUCCUCUGUGAAAUGAUUUCGGACGCAUGAAUGGCGACAGCGGCUCGAAGGCCUUGAGGGCGCACGGCACCGAAACCGUGGCCCACGAUGGUCUCGCCCACGAUGGUUGCCCGCGACGUCCGUUGGAGGUUGGCGGUUGGCGGCGAGUAGAUCGGUCACCCAUCCGACCCGUCUUGAAACACGGACCAAGGAGUCUAACAUGUGUGCGAGUCAGUGGGACUCGAAUAAGCCCAGAGGCGAAAUGAAAGCAAAGACCGCGGAGAUCUCCCGGUCGAGUCGUGAUCCCUGUUCCUCGUGAACGGGGCGCAACGGCGACCCGUCCCGUCCGAUUCAUUCGGUGGGGCGGAGUUUGAGCACACACGUUGGGACCCGAAAGAUGGUGAACUAUACCUGGACAGGACGAAGCCAGAGGAAACUCUGGUGGAGGUCCGCAGCGGUUCUGACGUGCAAAUCGAUCGUCAGAUCCGGGUCUAGGGGCGAAAGACUAAUCGAACCAUCUAGUAGCUGGUUCCCUCCGAAGUUUCCCUCAGGAUAGCUGGCGCUCGGAGAAUUCAGUCUCAUCUGGUAAAGCGAAUGAUUAGAGGCCUUGGGGACGAAACGACCUCAACCUAUUCUCAAACUUUAAAUGGGUGAGAAGGCCGCCUUGCUUGAUUGAUGAAGGCAGGUCCUUGUGGAUGAGAGUGCCCAGUGGGCCACUUUUGGUAAGCAGAACUGGCGCUGUGGGAUGAACCAAACGACGGGUUAAGGCAUCCGAUGCGAGACGCUCAUGAGAUCCCAUGAAAGGUGUUGGUUGCUCUAGACAGCAGGACGGUGGCCAUGGAAGUCGGAAUCCGCUAAGGAGUGUGUAACAACUCACCUGCCGAAGCAACUAGCCCUGAAAAUGGAUGACGCUCCAGCGUCGAGCCUAUACCCGUCCGCUGCUGGCAGAACUCCCUUGAGCAAGGAGGUUUACGUCGCAGUGAGUAGGAGGGUCGCGGGGGAGAGCGUUGAAGGUGCCGGGCGUGAGCCCGCCUGGAGCCUCCCUCGGUGCAGAUCUUGGUGGUAGUAGCAAAUACUCAAGUGAGAACCUUGAGGACUGAAGUUGGAGAAGGGUUCCAUGUGAACAGCAGUUGAACAUGGGUCAGUCGGCCCUAAGGGAUCGGAGAAAUCCGUUCCGAAGCGGGACAUUGGAAAAUACUGUGCUUCUAUAGCUGAUAUAUAGAUAGCUUGUCCCGCUGCUGACCGAAAGGGAAUGGGGUUAAUAUUCCCCAACCCGGACACGGAGAUAGAGGUCUCUCGCAGACCUCAAAUGCGGUAACGCAAUCGAACUCGGAGACGUCGGCGGAGGACCCGGGGAAGAGUUGUCUUUUCUUUGUAAGGAUUCGUGUCCCUGGAAUCGGAUCAUCCGGAGAUAGGGACGCUGUUUCCGUAAAAGCUCCGCGGCUCUUGCGGAGUCCGGUGCGCCUCUGCCGGCCCUUGAAAAUCCGAGGGAGAGAGUAUGAUUUUCGUGCCGGCCCGUACCCAUAUCCGCAGCAGGUCUCCAAGGUGAACAGCCUCUAGUCGAUA